GACGAACGCUGGCGGCGUGCUUAACACAUGCAAGUCGAACUGAAAGGCCCUGCUUUUGUGGGGUGCUCGAGUGGCGAACGGGUGAGUAACACGUGAGUAACCUGCCCUUGACUUUGGGAUAACUUCAGGAAACUGGGGCUAAUACCGGAUAGGAGCUCCUGCUGCAUGGUGGGGGUUGGAAAGUUUCGGCGGUUGGGGAUGGACUCGCGGCUUAUCAGCUUGUUGGUGGGGUAGUGGCUUACCAAGGCUUUGACGGGUAGCCGGCCUGAGAGGGUGACCGGCCACAUUGGGACUGAGAUACGGCCCAGACUCCUACGGGAGGCAGCAGUGGGGAAUAUUGCACAAUGGGCGGAAGCCUGAUGCAGCAACGCCGCGUGCGGGAUGACGGCCUUCGGGUUGUAAACCGCUUUCGCCUGUGACGAAGCGUGAGUGACGGUAAUAGGUAAAGAAGCACCAGCUAACUACGUG
rnacentral:rRNA from 1 species